rnacentral:rRNA from 1 species
AGUGAACGCUGGCGGUAGGCCUAACACAUGCAAGUCGAACGGCAGCACAGUAAGAGCUUGCUCUUACGGGUGGCGAGUGGCGGACGGGUGAGGAAUACAUCGGAAUCUACUUUUUCGUGGGGGAUAACGUAGGGAAACUUACGCUAAUACCGCAUACGACCUACGGGUGAAAGCAGGGGAUCUUCGGACCUUGCGCGAUUGAAUGAGCCGAUGUCGGAUUAGCUAGUUGGCGGGGUAAAGGCCCACCAAGGCGACGAUCCGUAGCUGGUCUGAGAGGAUGAUCAGCCACACAGGAACUAGGACACGGUCCAGACUCCUACGGGAGGCAGCAGUGGGGAAUAUUGGACAAUGGGCGCAAGCCUGAUCCAGCCAUACCGCGUGGGUGAAGAAGGCCUUCGGGUUGUAAAGCCCUUUUGUUGGGAAAGAAAAGCAGCAGGUUAAUACCCCGCUGUUCUGACGGUACCCAAAGAAUAAGCACCGGCUAACUUCGUG